rnacentral:misc_RNA from 1 species
GCUCAAUAUAUGAAAUUUCUAAUGUACAUUCACGCAGGAACAACUAAUAACCAAGAACAAUAUUCAAACUCUUUGACGGCGGCAUUGCCUGAAAGAGUAUAUACAGAAGCAUUUUGUAUUGUUGACUGACAGAGAUCAAAAACGGGUUUCGUAUAAGUAAAACAUUUAUUUUCAGUUCCGGAUGUUCAAGGAUUUGCUUGCCAGUGAGGCAAGUGCUACUGCUUUU